rnacentral:rRNA from 1 species
GACAGAGGGUGCGAACGUUGCUCGGAAUUACUGGGCGUAAAGCGCGUGUAGGCGGACUGGUAAGUCGGACGUGAAAUCCCUGGGCUCAACCCAGGAACUGCAUCCGAAACUAUCAGUCUGGAGUGGUGGAGAGGAAAGCAGAAUUCCUGGUGUAGAGGUGAAAUUCGUAGAUAUCAGGAGGAACACCGGUGGCGAAGGCGGCUUUCUGGACACUAACUGACGCUGAGACGCGAAAGCGUGGGGAGCAAACGGG